rnacentral:lncRNA from 1 species
UGGAAAUAGGGCUUGUAAUGUAUUUUUGGACCGUUAAUUUCAAGAUUUUAAAGUUUCCAUAGAUCUUCUCGAUCUGUGCCAUUUCUUAAGCUUCGAAUUUUAUAAUUAGAGAUAAAAAAUAUAUUAUAAAGCUAUAAAAAAGAUUGCAGUAUUGAAACCACUUUCUCAACAUUACACUAUUUGAAGGUGCACUUUAGUUUGAUUGAUUAUGAUUGAUUAAAGCCUCCGCUCCACACAAACGCAUCCUUUAGAAAAUAAAAAUAAAAAAGGUUUUCUCAUCUCUCUCUCCCUUUUUUUUUUUUGUUCUGUAUUUUUUUUUU